CAAGCCCGCUCUGAACAGCAGAGGGCACUUAUGUACACAAUACGGAAGGUUGCCUGCUUUUGACAAGCAACUGAGCAGGACUGAAAAGCAAUUACAAUAAUUGAAUAAGAUGCUUACAUGAUUUUUGCUGCAUUUGCCACCCAAGGCACAUAAUGAGCCAAGGAGGCGACUGCCUAGCAUUUGGUUGGACUGCCAUGGUAUCAGGAAGAUGCAGAUAAAUUGGAAGAAGUCUAGAGGAGAUCGGCUAACACAAUGGAAGGAAGGGAAAUUGAAGCAGUGGUACAGGAAAUGCUUCACUGAGCAGCCAGUCAGCUGGAAGAGAGUGGGCUCUGGGAUGUCUACGAGCAUUUUCAAACUGAAACAAAAUGGUAAUUGCUUUAUUACUAUUUUAGUAGGUCUAAGAAAAUGCACCGAGUGUAGAUACAAAGAAAGAUGCCACCACUAAGGGUAUUAAAUGCUUUUACCUUCACUCUCUGUUGAUCUCACCUCUCGACAUUCUGUUUCUACUGUGGGGGACUGCUAGGGUGACCAGUUGUCUGAUUUGGCCUGGCACUCAAGAUUUUCUUGAAUUUGGGACUGCCAGUGUUUAAGCCAGGAUGGUCUUGAGCAAACCAGGGCAAACUGUUGCCUACUGACUGCCUUGACCAACCCAUUGCAUGUGAGAACCAUAAACUGGACCUAGCUGACCUGUGCACCUUUGGACAUGGGGAUGUAAGAGUAAUCUACCAGAAGUCUUGUUGGCGUGAAGACUUCAAAUCUCCUUGAAGAAAUGCUAAGGAGAUCCCCGUUGCUCGUGGUCCAGCCACAGAAUACACAGUUCUGCAUCUACAGAGAAGUCAACCUGGGGGCAUCUGGGUUCUUCGGAAAGAUGGAGCAUGGUGGGUGCUUAAAGUUGCUCUGUAAAACUCAUUCUGCAACUCCUGAUUAGGUGAUGGUGGUGGAGAUGGCAUCCCCAUAACCAUCUCUCUCCAGUCAGAGUGUGGUGCUUCUGGAGCCCAUAGAUCGAGGCCAGCAUCAGGGCAGGGGCUCUGCAGGAGCAAGUGGAGAAGUGCUGGGACACUGCCAGUGGCAACAGGAAGACGGCUGGUCAGUUUUUAGUAGUUAAAAAGUGACAGUUAUAAGUCAGGCCUCAGAUAAUAGGAAAAAAACACAAUGAAAAUAAGGAGAAUGGAAACAUCUAACGAGGAAACACAUGAAGGUCCCCUAAGAAGUGGGGGCCUUUGGCAGAAGCAUCCUAAUGAAACUCCGAGAGACGUCCUUCAAGCCCACGUGCACCCCACCCGACUCAUCUAAAGUCUUAUUCUGCCAAAGCAGAGAAACUAGGGGCCCUAGCACCCCGGAAUGAUUUACCAAGAGAGUAAGGUAAGAGGAUCAAAACCCCACAGAAACAGCUGGCCUGAGCCAGUGGGAGCUCACUGACUGGACUGAUAGUGGAGGAACCCGCAUGGGACCAAACGAGGCCCUCUGAAUGGGGGUGGCAGUCCCGUGUGCUUUGGGCAGUGGAACUAGGAUUUCCCCCCCGUGCAUGAACUGGAUUUUUGGAGCCCAUUCCCUAUGGAGGGAUACCUUGCUCAGCCUAGAUACAGGGGGGAUGGCCUUGGUCCUGCCUCAAAGUAAGGUGCCAGAGUUUGUUGAGGCCCCAUGGGAAGCCUUACCCUCUCUGAGGAGUCGAUGGGGG
ensembl:lncRNA